CCUACGGGCGGCAGCAGUGGGGAAUAUUGCACAAUGGGGGAAACCCUGAUGCAGCGAAGCCGCGUGAGUGCUGACGUAUUUCUGUAUGUAAAGCUCUGUUAGCAGGGCAGAAAAUGACGGUACCUGACCAAGAAGCUCCGGCUAAAUACGUGCCAGCAGCCGCGGUUAUACGUAGGGGGCAAGCGUUAUCCGGAUUGACUGGGUGUACAGGGAGCGUAGACGGGAGGGAAAGUCUGGAGUGAAAGGCGGGGGCUCAACCCCCGGACUGCUCUGGAAACUGGCCGGCUGGAGUGCAGGAGAGGUAAGUGGAAUUCGUAGUGUAGCGGUGAAAUGCGGAGAUAUGAGGAAGAACACCAGUGGCGAAGGCAGCUUACUG
rnacentral:rRNA from 1 species